AAUAAACGCUGGCGGCGUGCCUAACACAUGCAAGUCGAGCGAGAAAGCUCCUUCGGGAGUGAGUACAGCGGCGAACGGGUGAGCAACGCGUGGGAAUCUACCCUUCAGUGAAGAAUACCCUUGAGAAAUCGAGGUUAAUACUGCAUACGUCCUGUAAAGGAGAAAGAUGGCCUCUUUGCUGUCGUUGAAGGAUGAGCCUGCGUACUAUUAGCUAGUUGGUAGGGUAACGGCCUACCAAGGCGAUGAUGGUUAACCGGCCUGAGAGGGUGUACGGUCACACUGGAACUUAGACACGGUCCAGACUCCUACGGGAGGCAGCAGUGGGGAAUUUUGGACAAUGGGCGAAAGCCUGAUCCAGCAAUGCCGCGUGUGUGAAGAAGGCCUUCGGGUAGUAAAGCACUUUUGUCCGGAAAGAAAUGGCUCUGGUUAAUACCUGGGGUCGAUGACGGUACCGGAAGAAUAAGGACCGGCUAACUACGUGCCAGCCGCCGCGGUAA
rnacentral:rRNA from 1 species